UAUAUAUAUAUAUAUAUAAGAUUAGAGUUGAGUUGGUAUACUAUCUGUAGUAAAUGGACUCCGUUGCCACUCAUUUGUUUUCGAUGAUGGAGCCUCCAAAUCGACGAUUGACACCGUUGAAUAUUAUCUAUAUCAAACUAAAUUUCAUACUUUUUCGAUAUUAUUUUUUUGUCCAUCAAGUGGGCACAAAAAUGAACAACUGAAAACGAUUAUCUUUUAAAAGGUAAUGAUAAGAGUCUCACAGUCAAGAUCAAGAGUAUGGAUCUUGUUUUAAAUAGUUCAGAGAAUUUUUUAAUAAAAAUUUAAUUAAUUUGGAUAUUUUUACACUAUUAAACAAGAAAAUGUCUCAUAUCGACCAUUAAAAUUACAGAUUUUAAAAUUCUUUGAUCAUUAGGCCAAUGAUGUCGAAAAAAUUUGAAAUUUGAUUUCUAUAUACUUCAAGUGGUAUAGGUCAUGGUUAACGAUGCCGAUCGUUGAUUUGGAGGCUUCAUCAUGUAAAAUAAAUGGUGGCAAUAGAGUCUGUUUGUUAUUUAUAGCAAUCCGGCUAAACUCUAUAUAAUUAAAUGUUUGUUUG
rnacentral:lncRNA from 1 species